CCUACGGGUGGCAGCAGUGAGGAAUAUUGGUCAAUGGGCGCAAGCCUGAACCAGCCAAGUCGCGUGAAGGAUGACUGCCCUACGGGUUGUAAACUUCUUUUAUAAAGGAAUAAAGUGAGGCACGUGUACCUUUUUGGAUGUACUUUAUGAAUAAAGAUCGGCUAACUCCGUUACAGCCGCCGCGGGAAUACGGAGGGUCCGAGCGUUAUCCGGAUUUAUUGGGUUUAAAGGGAGCGUAGGUGGGUUGUUAAGUCAGGUGUGAAAGUUUGCGGCUCAACCGUAAAAUUGCAAUUGAUACUGGCAGCCUUGAGUGGAGGUGAGGUAGGCGGAAUUCGUGGUGUAGCGGUGAAAUGCUUAGAUAGCACGAAGAACUCCGAUUGCGAAGGCAGCUUACUAACCUGCCACUGACAUUGAUGCUCGAAAGUGUGGGUAUCAAACAGGAUUAGAUACCCGAGUAGUC
rnacentral:rRNA from 1 species